rnacentral:rRNA from 1 species
UGGCAAGCGUUAUCCGGAAUUAUUGGGCGUAAAGCGCGCGUAGGCGGUUUUUUAAGUCUGAUGUGAAAGCCCACGGCUCAACCGUGGAGGGUCAUUGGAAACUGGAAAACUUGAGUGCGGAAGAGGAAAGUGGAAUUCCAUGUGUAGCGGUGAAAUGCGCAGAGAUAUGGAGGAACACCAGUGGCGAAGGCGACUUUCUGGUCUGUAACUGACGCUGAUGUGCGAAAGCGUGGGGAUCAAACAGGAUUAGAUACCCUGGUAGUCAAGGGCG